UGAGCUGUGAUGGGGAGAAGACAUUGUGUCUUCGAGUCGUUGAUUUCACACUGCCGAGAAAAGCCUCUAGAUAGAAAAUAGGUGCCCGUACCGCAAACCGACACAGGUAGUCAAGAUGAGAAUUCUAAGGUGAGCGAGCGAACUCUCGUUAAGGAACUCGGCAAAAUGACCCCGUAACUUCGGGAGAAGGGGUGCUCUUUAGGGUUAACGCCCAGAAGAGCCGCAGUGAAUAGGCCCAAGCGACUGUUUAUCAAAAACACAGGUCUCUGCUAAACCGUAAGGUGAUGUAUAGGGGCUGACGCCUGCCCGGUGCUGGAAGGUUAAGAGGAGUGGUUAGCUUCUGCGAAGCUACGAAUCGAAGCCCCAGUAAACGGCGGCCGUAACUAUAACGGUCCUAAGGUAGCGAAAUUCCUUGUCGGGUAAGUUCCGACCCGCACGAAAGGCGUAACGAUUUGGGCACUGUCUCAACGAGAGACUCGGUGAAAUCAUAGUACCUGUGAAGAUGCAGGUUACCCGCGACAGGACGGAAAGACCCCGUGGAGCUUUACUGUAGCCUGAUAUUGAAAUUCGGCACAGCUUGUACAGGAUAGGUAGGAGCCUUUGAAACGUGAGCGCUAGCUUACGUGGAGGCGCUGGUGGGAUACUACCCUAGCUGUGUUGGCUUUCUAACCCGCACCACUUAUCGUGGUGGGAGACAGUGUCAGGCGGGCAGUUUGACUGGGGCGGUCGCCUCCUAAAAGGUAACGGAGGCGCUCAAAGGUUCCCUCAGAAUGGUUGGAAAUCAUUCAUAGAGUGUAAAGGCAUAAGGGAGCUUGACUGCGAGACCUACAAGUCGAGCAGGGUCGAAAGACGGACUUAGUGAUCCGGUGGUUCCGCAUGGAAGGGCCAUCGCUCAACGGAUAAAAGCUACCCCGGGGAUAACAGGCUUAUCUCCCCCAAGAGUUCACAUCGACGGGGAGGUUUGGCACCUCGAUGUCGGCUCAUCGCAUCCUGGGGCUGUAGUCGGUCCCAAGGGUUGGGCUGUUCGCCCAUUAAAGCGGUACGCGAGCUGGGUUCAGAACGUCGUGAGACAGUUCGGUCCCUAUCCGUCGUGGGCGUAGGAAAUUUGAGAGGAGCUGUCCUUAGUACGAGAGGACCGGGAUGGACAUACCUCUGGUGUACCAGUUGUCGUGCCAACGGCAUAGCUGGGUAGCUAUGUGUGGACGGGAUAAGUGCUGAAAGCAUCUAAGCAUGAAGCCCCCCUCAAGAUGAGAUUUCCCAACUUCGGUUAUAAGAUCCCUCAAAGAUGAUGAGGUUAAUAGGUUCGAGGUGGAAG
rnacentral:rRNA from 1 species